rnacentral:rRNA from 1 species
UCUUUAAGAUAUUUUUUAAAGUAAAACCUGCUCAAUGUAUAAUAAAUAGCCGCAAAAUACUGUGCUAAGGUAGCAUAAUCAUUAGCUUUUUAAUUAAAAGAUAGAAUGAAAGGUUAUAUGAAAUAUAAUUUGUUUCUAAAAUAUUUGAUUAAAUUUAAAAAGACAGUUAAAAUUCUUCUAGUUUAGAAAGACGACAAGACCCUAACAAACUUAAUAUUUAGCUGGGGCGGCAAAAUAAAUAUACCUUUAAUAUAAUAAUUUUAAUUAUAAAUCUAUUAUAAUUAUUAAUAAAAUAGUUACUGUAGGGAUAACAGCGCAAUUUUUUUUUAAAGUUCACAUUUAAAGAAAUGUUUACGACCUCGAUGUUGAAUUAAUUUUUCUUUAUCAAGAGCAAUUUCUAUAAAAGAUAGUCUGUUCGACUAUUAAACAAUU